CUUUUAAUCAGUGUAUUUUAAUUUCUUGGCUUUCUGCAUUUUUUUGUCUUCUGUGAUGUGUAUUGUAUUCCAAAUGCCACAAGGGACAGGUACUAGAGGGACUAUGUGAUGGAGACCCAAGAACCGGAAAGUGGUCUUAACUGGAUCUGGUCUGAAUUUGUCAUUUUUGAUUGAUUUCGCAACAUGAGCUCAAUCACCAGAUGCCCAACUGCUCUAAAUUCAACUCUUAAUCAUCAACGGUAGAUUGCUGCUUUUGUGAAUCAUGACCAAACACACACACACACACACACACACACACACACACACACACACACACACACACACACACACACACACACACACACAUACAGAUUUUAAAUGCCAAGACAUUCCUUCCUAAUUGAAUAACUUUGGAAAUACAUUUGACAAGCACAAACCAAUCUCUCUCUCUCUCUCUUUCCCUACUCAUCUUUGCCUUGAUUUGUCCUCGCCAGUGUUUGCCUUUCCCCGGCCUCCAUUUGGCACUUAUGUAAUGUGGUGGUGAGAAUCUGCUGGCUGAACAAACAGGGCUACAUCACUGGGGAUUAGAAGCUGUCAGAUGUGACCCACAUGUUGUGCCACCUCCCUGCAGUAGGAAACUGCAGUACCUGGAGAAAGCACACGCACAUGGGGAGAACAUGCAAACUCUACACCGGAAGGGACCGAAUAUGAACCCGCAACGUGAGAUCUCGCAGGCCAGCGAGAACGAGGUCUGCAAGCCUAAUGAAAUGCUUGUUCGGAGAGGCAGCCUGAACUUGUUAGCAUUCAGCAUCGCCACGGCAACGCGUAGGCAACCACAACAACACACAAGCAAUCACGUCAACAUCAUCUACUGAAUGGACAAGCAGCAGAAGUCAGCCUGUUUGUGUGCACAUUGUGUGUGUUUUCUAAUCAAGGAGCAAUGUUUGUUUGGUUGAAUGUGUUGCGAUGAUGAUGUCAAAACUAAAAAGUUCCGUUUUUCCAGUGCCAAUGCCUGAAGUAUUAUCAAAAGAGUUUAGAGAGGUUUAUUCUGGCACGUCCUGAGAUAGACUGCCUUUGGAGGCUAAUCAAAGUGCAAGUGAUACAUCCCACUGACUCAAUCUCUCUUUCCUCAACU